GUGGGUGUGGCUCAGUGGUAGAGCAUAUGCUUAACAUAUACAAGGUCCUGGGUUCAAUCCUCAGUACCUCCA
rnacentral:tRNA from 1 species